CCUCCGCACCCCCCCGAGCGUCGAAUCAACGAGCGCGCCGUGACGUCAUCGGCGAGAGCGCUCGUGAUUGGCUGAUUUCCACUCGCCCAGUUCCCAGGUUUUUCUGGCGGCCGGAUGCCCGGCGGGCAUGAAAGUCUUCCGUGGUCGUGGCUGUGCUGCCCCUUCCUGGAGCUGCUCGCUGACCUGUCACCCUCCGCGGUCUGUUCGCCCGCCAUAGACGUCUUUCCAAGGGAUAGUCGUUUUGGCCUUGUACCAAAUUGGGAUUUCUUACUCUUUCCAUUCCUUCAGUCAUUUCAGAAGCGUCACCAAGCGGUACUGCCGUGCAGCCCGCCCGACCCGGAGGUGGCCCUAGAGUAAGCUUCGCCUCUCUUGGCCGCGUCUCCUGUAGUCCAGGUUGAAUCCUGACCAGGCAAAGAGGUUUUCUUCUGUGGGACAUAGCUCAGUGGCACAAACACCUACCUGAUAAGUGCAAGGUCCUGAAUUCAAUUACCAGUACCAAAAAAUCAAAAUUUUCCCUUUGUACUCUUGAGCUGAAAGUGUAGCAAGUUGCCCUUAAGAGGUAUCUUCUCCUGCUUUUCAAGAUCGCUUUUCUAUGGAUAACUUCCUAAACUGAAAUAUAACUUACAGGAUUCCUAAUAUAAGGAGCCUACCAAAGAAUCCUGUAUUUUAUGAGAAUGUCUAAUCAAGUCUUAUCGAAGGAGGGGAUGCUUCUGCAGCACUCCUGGGAGAUGCUCACCGAUCACUUCAGAAACACUUUUGGCUUUUAUUUGGUGAUUUCAUUAUUAUAAAAUGCUCUGCUACUCUGUAAAUUCUAGCCAUGUAUUGCUGCAGAAACCUGGUACUGAACCAAAGGGAAGGCACUUCCCACUGAGGAGUUUGGAAGACGAUGUAGUCCACUAACAGGCUGGUGGAAAUUAGCUCCAAAUCACCAGCCGUACAUUAGUUUAAAUGUAGUUUGCAAGCCAGAAGCACAAGGCUAAUGGCAAGUUAUUACAUGACCAAUUACAUGAAUUAAGUCAUACGUUGUCAAGCGAGCUAGUUCCAAGUAGGUUUACUUGAAAGGAAUUAUUUAUCAUAAGGUAGGAACAUUCUGAGAAGGAAGCAGGGAGCCUGAGUGGAGCAGGUAGAGUUCACUGUGUCCCCAACUGGACACACUAUCUGUCCCAGACAGGUAGGCGUUGAAGCAAGCUGGAAAAACACAAGCAUUUACAACUGGACACAGUUAGGUGGACCUAAUGUCUUAUUUGGGAGAAGCAGCUGGACACAGCCAAGGCUGACUGAGCUUAGAGGAUAACCUGUGAGCAUAAUUACAGGCCAUUAACUGAUUUCUUAACUUCUAUUAUAAAGUGUCUAUAAUUUGCUAUUCUAUCAUUUUGCCCUUACAAUAUUAGUUGCCUACUAUUCUAAAUAUCUACAUUCACUCGUUACUCAUAACCAGUUUAAGAUGUGCAUUCUGUCAUUUUGUAAAUAAAGGUAGCAACACACAGAAAGUGAAGGUGUCGCAGUCAGCCCUUACAUAUUACGCCAGAAACCUGUGCUCAAAUUGGUCUGAACUUUUUGGUUACUUAAGAAUUCACACGCUUCUUCUGUUAUCCAUCUUAAAUCUCUAAAUUAUAUCAGUUAUAAGAUAUGUUUAAAUAUAACUUCAUUAAAAUCAAAAUAUAAAUGUGUAUUGCAAUCUCCUGAUCUACUGUUUAAUAAAACUUCCAGAAAAAUAAAAUGUGGGCUGAACAUUCAGCUCACACAUAGAGCACUUGUCAAAAAUGUGCAUAGCCCCUAGCAUCAAUCCCCCGUAUCGAAAGGGAAAAAGGAAAUUACACUGUCUUUUAAAAAAAUGAUACCAGUUUACACAAGCUUUUUGUGAAAUAAAUUUUUACUUGGAAACAAAGCUUUUGUAAAUAAGGAGGGGAAGGAGGGUUAAGGGACAGCUGGGGGUGGGGAAAAGAAGGAUCAAAUUGUGUCAUGUACAGGUAUAAAUUCCCUAUGAUGAAUGUGAUCAUUAUGUACACCUAAAAUGUACCAAUAAAUAAUUAAUUUUUAAAAAGUUUUUACAAAUA